CACGCCUGUGCUGCAUCAGCGCUGGCCCCUCCCCGCCCGCCGCCCGCGGCCCAACCGCACCGCAUCUGCAUGGAGCAAAGUGAAAAAUGACACUGCAGGAAAGAAAAGCUGGACAAAGGAAAUGUUUGCAGGUCAUUGGAUUUUCUUAAACCUGCUACUCUUUCAGUUCAUUAUCCCAUCAUCUCAGGAAAGCAGUGUUGAAGUAUGUAUACUCAGAAAUACGAAAAUAAUUAGAAGAUGAGAAUUACUCACUUGCAUUAUAAAACAAAGCUUGCUCUUUAGUCCAAAUGUUUAAUGGUUUAUAUUACAGCAAAAUUAUUUCAACUGAACAAGACAAGAAGCUUCCUUUAGCUUUUGGUAUCUAUUCAAGAAACCACAAACUGUUUGCUGCAGAAAGUAUGUAUUCGGAAAAGGUAAGCACCACUGAAGUUUAAAUACUGGAACAGAAAACAAAUGGCUGUAUAUCAAAAGCACCACUACAGCAUGACAAGGGAGUCCACAAUCACAAAACCAAUUGAGGAGAGAGAACAGUCCUGUGCUUUAGGCCCUUGAAUUGAACAUGGAAAGUACAAUUCAGCUGUCAGCAUUACUACAGCAUUUUGUGUAACACUGGAUGUAUUUUUAUAGUUUUUUUGUGUUUGUUUUUCUUUCUUUCUAAUGAACUAGGACAUACAGUUCUUGAAGGAAAAUUCAAGUACCCUGCUAUUCCUAUAAGCUGGCCUGUGACUGAAAAAAGUAGAGGACUAUGUAAAAACGCUCAGACAUAAACAUCUAAUUUCCGGAUGAAACAAGGCUGGGAGGGAAAGAAUAGCAACAGAACUACCUUCUUCCUUUUCUCAUUAAUAAAGCAAAAUAAAACAGAA